CGUUUUCUUUUGAGGUGGCCCAAAUCUCCUAUUGUCCCAAAGCCUGUAGUAAGUGGUUUUCGAUGAUGAUGUAGCAGCCGUCCAAGAAGUGAUAACAACAUUUGUCCAAGUUUGACGUUGGCUUUGGUCGUCAUUGGCGGUGACUCUUUUGGUGCCAUCCACUCGGCACUGAACUGGUGCUGAAACCGGAGAGGGUUGAAGCGGAGUAGUCAAGGAUCUUUGCUGGGGCUGUGCCUUCGCCUGCUCUGUGAGAGAUCCGCCGCUGCCAUGGGUUCAUCAGGAGCCGAGCUUCCGUGCUGGUGUUGUCUGCCUGGACUGGAGGAUUGCUGCACUGGACUGGGCUGUCCGCGGGCAUCUGUUGCGACUUAAUCGAUUUCCUUGUCUGUGCGGUAGAGAUCGCUUGCGGUCUCUUUCUGGCCCCCAGCCGGAGCUAUGUGCGGCCUGUCCGGUGUCUGGCUGGAGAGGUUGCGGAGAACUGCUCUGUGCAGCCGACGCGACCUGUAGCGAGGCUGUGUGCGGCCUUGUCUGGUGUCUGGCUAGAGAAGUUUGCGGAGGACUGAUCUGUGCUUCUGACGCGACCUGUCGCCCAUUGCCCAUGGACUUACUUGUUGAGAGCAUCGAGCUCCAGCCCAGUGGGAAGCUGGCUGACUUUUGGACUUUUCAGGAUCUGCGCGACAUGUCUUUCCAUUAACCAGCUGGACAUGGAUUUUUUUUAAUUUAUCACUUAUUUGUUUUGUUGUUUGUUGGUUUUGUUUGUUGUCUGUCUUUGUAUGUCUUGGUGUCAUGGGUACACGCGUCAUGGGCGAUUACGCCGCUCCGUCCAGCAUUAUUUGUUUUGUGUAGCCUGAUUUGUUAUUUUGCUUGUUUAUGUCUUGGUGUCACGGGUACACUGGCGACUACGACGCUCUGGGUAGCAACUUUUUGUCUUAUGUUUCUUGUUUGUCUGUUUGUUUGUUUUUUUUACAGCACUCUGGUCAACUGUUGUUUUUUAAUGUGCUAUACAAAUAAAUUGACAUUGACAUGAUUUUACGGUCAAAUAAAUGUGUUUAUUUGAGCUAAACAACUUCUAAGUCUUUUAGGGGAGUUAAGAUGCAUAAUUAUACCUGCAAGU